UGAUUGUAAUAAUAUUAUUCAGCUUUUAAUAAUAUCUCUGCUGUUGCUCUGUUAUAGUAUUUGUUAACACUCCAUUAAUUCAGGCUGGGAGUGUCUAUUUAGGACAGAGACCAGACGAGAAAACCUCGAAGAGUUCUGUAAUCAAGAGAGCCCCCAAUCUAUCAGUGGUUUCCAAGUAAGUGAAGCUGCACUUCACCAUAGAAUCUCCAUGAUUUUGGUUGGGGUUUUUCAGUUCUUGGCUGGCAGGAAUUAAAUUACACAAGGUACGGAUGCAACCAGGCUUGGAUGAGAUCACAAUGACGGCGUGGAAGAAUCUAAAGCAACGGCUCUCAUUCAAGGGCCUGGGUAGUUGCUGCGGGAGCACAAGCUGGAGUUCCAGAAGUGCCACCCCAACCAUGCCCUUUAUCGAUAUAGAGCAAGAAGAAGAGGAAGAGCCCAUCAUGCAAAACCAAGCUCAAAGAGGAGGAGGAGCUGCAGCAGCAGCAGCAGCGCCAGGUGCUGGGAUGAAUCUGGCAAUGGCAUUAGCUGCUGAGCGCAAUUUAGGGGAUUCAAAUGUCAAGACAUUGAUGAGUUUGAUCGAAGAAACGGACGGUGUUGAUUGGAGGAAGAAGAAUAACAGUAAUGAUAAAAGUAGGAGGGACAAGGAACAGGAACAGAAGCAGGAAGAAGAGAAGGAUUGGGUAUGCUGCGUUUGCAUGGAGAGAAAUAAAGGCGCAGCUUUUAUUCCAUGUGGACACACCUUUUGUAGGGUUUGUUCAAGAGAAAUGUGGGUUAAUCGAGGGUGCUGUCCUAUCUGCAACCGUUCCAUUCUCGACAUCCUUGAUAUCUUCUAGUAAUCAGCAGAGGCAGAGAAGAUUCUUUCAAUGUCUUGUCUUCGGGUUCAAACCCAGGCAUGCCGAAUUAUUUAAGAGCUGAGCCGGCAGAGUUUGAUAUUUGCUGGCCUUUGGUGCGCAAUCGAGUCAAUUGCCGAGUGUCAAGUGCCUAACACAUGAAGCAUGCAGCAGUACAUUAAUUUAAUUUAGCGGCUGCGCGCGGUUGUAUUUGUAGCAUGCUCUCUUACAGGCCAUCCUACUUGUUAAAGUGCUCUGCUUUUUAUCGUUUCUCGUUAAGAAGGGAGACAGAGGCGUUUCGUUUGUUUCUUAAAAUUUGUUGUUUUCCUUUUGGUUUAGACAAUCGGCUGUUUUUUCAUGAUUUAAAACUAGGGAGACUCCAAUCUGAGCCCUCAAAUUUUCAAACUUUAAAAACUCAAGAUUGGUUGGAUUGAAUUUAAUAAAGCUCCUUUAAACGAGA